UACGAAGGGGGCUAGCGUUGCUCGGAAUUACUGGCGUAAAGCGCACGUAGGCGGCUUUGUAAGUUAGAGGUGAAAGCCCAGGGCUUAACCCUGGAAUUGCCUUUAAGACUGCAUCGCUAGAAUUGUGGAGAGGUAAGUGGAAUUCCGAGUGUAGAGGUGAAAUUCGUAGAUAUUCGGAAGAACACCAGUGGCGAAGGCGACUUACUGGACACAUAUUGACGCUGAGGUGCGAAAGCGUGGGGAGCAAACAGG
rnacentral:rRNA from 1 species